GAUGAACGCUGGCGGCGUGCUUAACACAUGCAAGUCGAACGAAACACCUUAUUUGAUUUUCUUCGGAACUGAAGAUUUGGUGAUUGAGUGGCGGACGGGUGAGUAACGCGUGGGUAACCUGCCCUUUACAGGGGGAUAACAGUCAGAAAUGACUGCUAAUACCGCAUAAGACUACAGCACCGCAUGGAGCAGGGGUAAAAACUCCGGUGGUACAGAAUGGACCCGCGUCUGCUUAGCUGGUUGGUGAGGUAACGGCUCACCAAGGCGACGAUCAGUAGCCGGCUUGAGAGAGUGAACGGCCACAUUGGGAGUGAGACACGUCCCAAACUCCUACAGGAGGCAGCAGUGGGGGAUAUUGCACAAUGGGGGAAGCCCUGAUGCAGCGACGCCGCGUGAGUGAAUAAGUAUUUCGGUAUGUAAAGCGCUAUCAGCAGGGAUGAAAAUGACGGUACCUGACUAAGAAGCCCCGGCUAACUACGUG
rnacentral:rRNA from 1 species